UGUGUAAGCUAUAGUGUGGUGCAUGCAACAUGUUUGAGGUUUGGAUCAUCUAUAUGUCCGUGACUACUAAGUAUACGUGCAUGCAUUUGCAUCAUAUAAUAAUAUGACAUUUAGACUUAAUACAUGUAGAUAUUAUAGGGGGUGAAAGUUCUUACUGAGAGAUUUUGAGCCUAACCAAAAUCAUUGUUUACAACUUUACAUCCUCUUACCAGGCUCUGACUCUCGGUUUAAUUAGUCAUUCUUUUUGCGAAAAUCGGUAAGUGUGGAUUGGCAAAGACCUCUGGUUUGGAGCUUUUGCUUGUUGUGUCUGUUCCGACUUAGGCUAGAUUGAGUCGUUGUUUAGCAUUAUUUUUCUUUCCUCCGCUUCUUGUUUCCAUUGUAAUUCUGUCAAAAUUUUGAAAAUUUUGUAAUAAUAUCUUUACAUUUUUACCCAAAAAAAAAUCUUUACAUCCUCUUUGGAAUAUUAGAAUGAAGGGUUUAUUUAUUUAUAAGAAUUUCAUGUUUGUACUACUGGACAGUAUUUGUAUGAAAUUUACAAAAGAAAUUGUCUUAUGGAAUUUCAAGUAUAUAAGUCAGCUC
rnacentral:lncRNA from 1 species